rnacentral:pre_miRNA from 1 species
AAUAGUUUUAUGUCACAUCAGUAUUCUUAUCCUGAAUUUCAGGAUUUUAUCCUGAAAAAAAUCAAAUCCAAAUUAAAAUACUGAAAUUCAGGAUAAGAAUACUGAUAUGGCAUAAAACUAUU